rnacentral:rRNA from 1 species
UACGUAGGGGCCUAGCGUUGUCCGGAAUUAUUGGGCGUAAAGAGCGUGUAGGCGGCCAUGUAGGUCCGGUGUGAAAACUCGAGGCUUAACCUCGAGAUGUCAUCGGAAACCAUUUGGCUAGAGUCCGGAAGAGGAGAGUGGAAUUCCUGGUGUAGCGGUGAAAUGCGCAGAUAUCAGGAAGAACACCAAUGGCGAAAGCAGCUCUCUGGGACGGUACUGACGCUGAGACGCGAAAGCGUGGGGAGCGAACAGG